CGCUGACUGAAGUACAGGAGAUUUUCAAAGAUGGCGCGAAAUGUCGGAGAGUGAUGUGAACACAUCACUAUACUAAAAUGGAUAUUCGAUCGUUCUUCAGCCCUACUGGAAAGACAGCGAAGCAAGGCGCUUCGAAAGUAGAAAAUAAGCGCGGCAAAGAUUCUACUGCGAAGUCAUUAACGAAACAAGAUGUAGGAAAGCGCCGAACGAAAACCAAGGGUUUAUCAAGUAGUGAAGAUGAUGACAUUGCCCGGAAACAAAAACCAAAAGAAAAUCAGAAGAAGAAGAAGAA